AAUAUUACGUCAUUCACCUCCUUCAUCCGAGAUUACCCGCUGAACUUAAGCAUAUCAAUAAGCGGAGGAAAAGAAACCAACAGGGAUUGCUCAGUAACGGCGAGUGAAGCGGCAAAAGCUCAAAUUUGAAACCCUCGGGAUUGUAAUUUGAAGAUUUGGCAUUGGAGAAAGCUAACCCAAGUUGCUUGGAAUAGUACGUCAUAGAGGGUGACAACCCCGUCUGGCUAACCGUUCUCCAUGUAUUGCCUUAUCAAAGAGUCGAGUUGUUUGGGAAUGCAGCUCAAAGUGGGUGGUAAACUCCAUCUAAAGCUAAAUACUGGUGAGAGACCGAUAGCGAACAAGUACUGUGAAGGAAAGGUGAAAAGAACUUUGAAAAGAGAGUGAAAUAGUAUGUGAAAUUGUUGAUAGGGAAGGAAAUGAGUGGAGAGUGGCCGAGGUUUCAGCCGCCCCUCGUGGGCGGUGUACUGCCGACGCCGAGUCAUCGAUAGCGAGACGAGGGUUACAAAUGGGAGCGCCUUCGGGCGUUCUCCCCUAACCCUCCACACUGCCACCGACGACAUAAUCCACCCAUUACUGG
rnacentral:rRNA from 1 species